ACGGAAUCACAUCUUGACGUCACUGAGCCUGCGGAAGUGUUUACGUGUUUCCGGCGUCGACAUCGUACCUGGACACACGGGUGGCGGCGGCGGCGGUGAAAGGACGUUCGCCUAAUCAGCUCUUUUUGCUUACCCAGGUUGGUAAAUUCGCUUAUUUCUCAAUACCGCCUUACCGCCACCGCCGUUGCCACCGUGUUUCAGUGCUUUGCUGAGUUCUCUGUGCAUAAUGUGCCUUUUUCCUAAUUGAAUGCUCCCGAAUUGAGUGCGAACUGAGUGCUACUGUGAAUGCCUGGACAACGUACCAUGACAAGCACGUGCCAGUCUUGUGAUGAGCCCCUCCCCUGUGAUGGGCGUG